UUAUCGUUUGAUUCGAUUAUCGCAACGAAUAUGAUCAGUGUACGACAUGAUGUUCACAGUGAAGUAAAAAAAUUUAUAUUCGUGACAUGUGAGUGGGAAUAUUAUAAAGAAAAUAAAUGGAAAGAGGUCAAGAACAUCUCGAAAUUUCUUCAAAUUUCUCCAGUUUGAAACAAAACUUUCACGAGCUUUGGUAGAAAAAGUUACUUCAUUACAAGAGCCAACCAAUGAUAUCUGUCGAUAUCGAAGAGGAAACUUCAACUUCCAACCAGGUUCCAGCUUAUAGACCCGGUUAAACGACGUUAUAAUUGUGAAACGAGACGACGACGACGACGACGACGAGGAACGAAUCCAAUCCAAUUACGCCGUAGUCACGACGCCCAAGGUCGAACGGUCCUCGAUCCCGAGGGAAAAACCGGUGGUUAAGCCACGCUACUAGACGAUCCCGAUAUACAAGUAGUACCUAAGCAACGUUGGCGCGCAAGCGAAGUCCAAAAAGAAGGGACAAAAACACGGCCAACAAUCCCGCGUGGAGAUUCGAAAAAGGUUCGCCGACAAGUCUUCCGACUCGGUUGUCGGCUAGGUAAGAAGACGACCGUGGAACAAAGCCGACCCGCGAGCAGCUCACGGAGAGAGGCGAUAUAUUUUACGCGUCUACCGGAAGUACGGUGGUAUGCGUCAGGAGGGGCGCAGAAAAGGAGGGAAAAACAGAAGAGGGAACGGGUACGUAGGCAGGGUUUCCAGAGAAUACGCGUAUGUAUGUAGAAUACGGCGUGCCUCGUGAGAAUGGCGGAUACGGAGGCGAGUGUAUACACGCGAGGGUGGGGGCGUAAGAAGGAGGGUUCCAAGGGGUGCGUUUCUUCGCCUCCAUCCAUCCAUCCAUCCAUCCAUCCAUCCAACCAUCCAUCUAUCCAUCCAUCC